AACGAACGCUGGCGGCAUGCCUAACACAUGCAAGUCGAACGAGACCUUCGGGUCUAGUGGCGCACGGGUGCGUAACGCGUGGGAACCUGCCCUUAGGUUCGGAAUAACUCCCCGAAAGGGGUGCUAAUACCGGAUAAUGUCUUCGGACCAAAGAUUUAUCGCCUUUGGAUGGGCCCGCGUUGGAUUAGCUAGUUGGUAGGGUAAAAGCCUACCAAGGCGACGAUCCAUAGCUGGUCGGAGAGGAUGAUCAGCCACACUGGGAAUGAGACACGGCCCAGACUCCUACGGGAGGCAGCAGUGGGGAAUAUUGGACAAUGGGCGAAAGUCUGAUCAAGCAAUGCCGCGUGAGUGAUGAAGGCCUUAGGGUUGUAAAGCUCUUUUACCCGGGAUGAUAAUGACAGUACCGGGAGAAUAAGCUCCGGCUAACUCCGUG
rnacentral:rRNA from 1 species